UACGUAGGGUGCGAGCGUUGUCCGGAAUUAUUGGGCGUAAAGAGCUCGUAGGCGGCCUGUCGCGUCGGAUGUGAAAGCCCGGGGCUUAACCCCGGGUCUGCAUUCGAUACGGGCAGGCUAGAGUGUGGUAGGGGAGAUCGGAAUUCCUGGUGUAGCGGUGAAAUGCGCAGAUAUCAGGAGGAACACCGGUGGUGUAAACGGCUUUCUGGACCAUAACUGACGCUGAGGAGCGAAAGCAUGGGGAGCGAACAGG
rnacentral:rRNA from 1 species